rnacentral:rRNA from 1 species
CCUACGGGCGGCAGCAGUGAGGAAUAUUGGUCAAUGGGCGCAAGCCUGAACCAGCCAUCCCGCGUGAAGGAAGAAGGCCCUACGGGUUGUAAACUUCUUUUCUGUUUGAAGAAUAAGCUCGUCGAGACGAGUGAUGCCGGUAGGACAGGAAUAAGCAUCGGCUAACUCCGUGCCAGCAGCCGCGGUAAUACGGAGGAUGCAAGCGUUAUCCGGAUUUAUUGGGUUUAAAGGGUGCGCAGGUGGUUUAAUAAGUCAGUGGUGAAAGUCUGGCGCUUAACGUUAGGAUUGCCAUUGAUACUGUUAGACUUGAAUAUGGAUGAGGUAGGCGGAAUGUGUAGUGUAGCGGUGAAAUGCUUAGAUAUUACACAGAACACCGAUUGCGAAGGCAGCUUACUAAUCCAUCAUUGACGCUGAGGCACGAAAGCGUGGGGAUCAAACAGGAUUAGAUACCCCUGUAGUC